GUACUCACUGCAGAAGCACAUAUGCUAAAACUGGAACAAUACAGAGAGAAGCUUAGCAUGGCCCAUGCACAGGGAUGACAUGCAAAUUCAUGAAGCAUUCCAUAUUUUU
rnacentral:snRNA from 1 species